CUCGCCGUCAAACCCCACUUCACCGAAUUCGUUUUCGCAAGCCCUAGGCCCCUAAGCUGAGGGAAAGGUAACGGUUUGGAUUUCUGAGGUUCUUAUUGGGUUAUUAUUAUUGGAUCUUGAUUAGGGUUUUUGGAUUUGGAAUUGGAUUUGCCGAGUGAGGAUCUGAAGGCGAUGCUGCUGAAGUUAGAGGAGCUGGCGGAGAGGAAAGCGUAUAUUGAGUAGCUAUCUGGUAAUUGGAUUUGCAGGUUCGAAUCUGUUGAAGAAAGAAGGAUUUGCAAAAUUUGGGCCAGACUAUACAAAUGGAUUCUAUGAAUGAUGUGGAUAACAACCCUCAGUCUCUCCUAGCAUUUAUUGGAAAUGAAAUUGUCCAUGGCUUAUAUGACUUUCUGUUAAAUUACAGGUUCUUCCUGAGUUCUUUGAUGGGUGUUGACGUUCCUGUACUAUAUGCGCCGGUGCCAUUUCAAAAUGCUUCUCUUUCUGUUCCAGAGGUAAGAUGUAGGGAGAUGAGGAGAGCUGACACGGU